GUUCUCCAGCUGAUCGUGAUCAGCUGGAUGGGAAACAGCCGGCACGAGGAAAGCGCAGAGGGAAUAAAGCAGAGCGGAGGACUGACUGCAGGGAAGCGACCCCCCGACGAAGGAGUAGGAGACGCUUAACCCCGCAACGGCUACGAGGCUCACGGAGACCCUAGCCCAGAGACUCGAUCGCUUGUGUUAAACUGAUUGUUAAAUAAACGCCGUGAACUGAGAAAAUGGCGUUCGCGACACCGGGGGGCCUCUAUCAGUACACCGUCCUCCCCUUCGGCGUUCACGGGGCGCCGGCCACCUUCCAGAGGAUGAUGGACCAGCUCCUGCGACCCCACCAGGCCUACGCUGCGGCCUACAUAGAGGAUAUCAUUAUCAACAGCGACAGCUGGGACGUCCACGUCAGGCAGCUGCGGGCCGUGCUGGGGGAACUGCGGAAGGCGGGCCUCACAGCCAACCCGGCCAAGUGCCGACUGGGCUGGAGGAGACGGCCUACCUGGGGUACCGGGUAGGACGGGGGAGCAUCCGGCCGUAGGAGAGCAAGGUGGCGGCCAUCCGGGACUGGCCCCGCCCCUCGACCAAGAAAUAGGUCGAGAGUUCACCCUGGUCACCGACCAUGCGCCACUGAAAUGGAUGGCGGGCGCCAAAGACACCAACGCCCGGGUGACGAGGUGGUUCCUGGCACUCCAGGACUUUCGGUUCCAGGUGGCCCACAGACCGGGGAAGGAGCAUGCCAACGCAGAUGCCCUGUCCCGCAGGGAUGCCUGCCUGGGAUGGAACCCGAGCGGCCGGUGGCUUGGUCUGACGGUGGAGGAGUGUGUUGGAGGGCGUGUACCGGCGCCACCCACGUGCCCGGCACGGGGAUCGUUCUCCAGCUGAUCGUGAUCAGCUGGAUGGGAAACAGCCGGCACGAGGAAAGCGCAGAGGGAAUCAAGCAGAGCGGAGGACUGACUGCAGGGAAGGGACUCCCCGACGAAGGAGUAGGAGACGCUUAACCCCGCAACGGCUACGAGGCUCACGGAGACCCUAGCCCAGAGACUCGAUCGCUUGUGUUAAACUGAUUGUUAAAUAAACGCUGUGAACGGCUUUAUACCCGCCUCAACCGUGCCUACUUCCCGUGUGAACCAGCCUCUCAGCCAGCCGGGGUGCCACAACACACACACACACACACACACACACACACACACA
ensembl:lncRNA